UGGGGAAUCUUGCGCAAUGGGCGAAAGCCUGACGCAGCGACGCCGCGUGAGGGAAGAAGGCCUUCGGGUUGUAAACCUCUUUCAGCAGGGACGAAGCUACUCGGGUUAAUAGCCCAGAGGGUGACGGUACCUGCAGAAGAAGCCCCGGCUAACUACGUGCCAGCAGCCGCGGUAAUACGUAGGGGGCAAGCGUUGUCCGGAUUUACUGGGCGUAAAGAGCGUGUAGGCGGCCAAGCAGGUCUGUUGUGAAAACUGGAGGCUCAACCUCCAGACGUCGACAGAAACCGCUUGGCUAGAGUCCGGAAGAGGAGAGUGGAAUUCCUGGUGUAGCGGUGAAAUGCGCAGAUAUCAGGAAGAACACCAAUGGCGAAGGCAGCUCUCUGGGACGGUACUGACGCUGAGACGCGAAAGCGUGGGGAGCGAACAGG
rnacentral:rRNA from 1 species